ACGAACGCUGGCGGCGUGCCUAAUACCUGCAAGUCGAACGAGAGCAACCGGUGCUUGCACUGGUCAAUCUAGUGGCGAACGGGUGAGUAACACGUGGGUAACCUGCCCAUCAGAGGGGGAUAACAUCCGGAAACGGAUGCUAAAACCGCAUAGGUCUUCGAACCGCAUGGUUUGAAGAGGAAAAGAGGCGCAAGCUUCUGCUGAUGGAUGGACCCGCGGUGCAUUAGCUAGUUGGUGAGGUAACGGCUCACCAAGGCCGUGAUGCAUAGCCGACCUGAGAGGGUGAUCGGCCACAUUGGGACUGAGACACGGCCCAAACUCCUACGGGAGGCAGCAGUAGGGAAUCUUCCGCAAUGGACGCAAGUCUGACGGAGCAACGCCGCGUGAGUGAAGAAGGUUUUCGGAUCGUAAAACUCUGUUGUUAGAGAAGAACAAGUGCUAGAGUAACUGUUAGCGCCUUGACGGUAUCUAACCAGAAAGCCACGGCUAACUACGUG
rnacentral:rRNA from 1 species